GCAGCAACGCCGCGUGCGCGAAGAAGGCCUUCGGGUUGUAAAGCGCUUUUCUAGCUGAAGAGGGAGGACGGUAGGCUAGGAAGAAGAGUCGGCUAACUACGUGCCAGCAGCCGCGGUAAAACGUAGGACUCGAGCGUUAUCCGGAUUUACUGGGUGUAAAGGGCGYGCAGGCGGGCUAGCAAGUCAGAGGUGAAAUCUCCCGGCUUAACUGGGAAACUGCCUUUGAAACUGCUAGWCUUGAGUGCGGAAGAGAGAGACGGAAUUCCAGGUGUAGCGGUGAAAUGCGUAGAUAUCUGGAAGAACACCAGUUGCGAAGGCGGUCUCUUGGUCCGUUACUGACGCUCAGGCGCGAAAGCGUGGGGAGCAAACAGGAUUAGAUACCCUGGUAGUCCACGCCCUAAACGAUGAAUACUAGGUGUUGGUCUUUUUGAUCAGUGCCGCAGCUAACGCAUUAAGUUGACCGCCUGGGGACUACGGCCGCAAGGCUAAAACUCAAAGGAAUUGACGGGGACCCGCACAAGCAGCGGAGCGUGUGGUUUAAUUCGAGGCUACGCGAAGAACCUUACCAGGGUUUGACAUAUGCGUGGUAGUGAUUCGAAAGAUGAACGACCCUUCGGGGAGCGCAUACAGGUGCUGCRUGGCUGUCGUCAGCUCGUGYCGUGAGGUGUUAGGUUAAGUCCUGUAACGAGCGCAACCCUCGUCGUUAGUUACAUGUGUCUA
rnacentral:rRNA from 1 species